UACGUAGGGGGCAAGCGUUGUCCGGAAUCAUUGGGCGUAAAGCGCGUGUAGGCGGCUCGGUAAGUCCGCUCUGAAAGUCCAGGGCUCAACCCUGGGAUGCGGGUGGAUACUGCCGGGCUCGAGUCCGGAAGAGGCGAGUGGAAUUCCCGGUGUAGCGGUGAAAUGCGCAGAUAUCGGGAGGAACACCAAUGGCGAAGGCAGCUCGCUGGGACGUGACUGACGCUGAGGAACGAAAGCUAGGGGAGCAAACGGG
rnacentral:rRNA from 1 species